UCAAAACAGCGGCCUUCGGGCCUCGCUGCACCCUUGUCUUUUGCGCACCGUAUUGUUUCCUCGGCGGGCUUGCCUGCCGGUUGGACAUCAUAAAACCUCUUUGUAGUUGCAAUCAGCGUCAGAAAACAAUAAUUAUUA
rnacentral:misc_RNA from 1 species